AUACGGAGGAUCCGAGCGUUAUCCGGAUUUAUUGGGUUUAAAGGGUGCGCAGGCGGGAGAUUAAGUCGGCGGUGAAAUUUUGCAGCUCAACUGUAAAAGUGCCUUCGAAACUGGGUUCCUUGAGUGUAGAUGAAGUAGGCGGAAUUUGUGGUGUAGCGGUGAAAUGCAUAGAUAUCACGAGGAAAUCCGAUUGCGCAGGCAGCUUACUAAACUACUACUGACGCUCAGGCACGAAGGCGUGGGGAUCAAACAGGAUUAGAUACCCUGGUAGUCCACGCAGUAAACGAUGAUUACUAGCUGUUUGCGAUACAAUGUAAGCGGCUGAGCGAAAGCGUUAAGUAAUCCACCUGGGGAGUACGUUCGCAAGAAUGAAACUUAAAGGAAUUGACGGGG
rnacentral:rRNA from 1 species